rnacentral:rRNA from 1 species
AUUGAACGCUGGCGGCAUGCCUUACACAUGCAAGUCGAACGGUAACAGGUCUUCGGAUGCUGACGAGUGGCGAACGGGUGAGUAAUACAUCGGAACGUGCCUAGUAGUGGGGGAUAACUACUCGAAAGAGUGGCUAAUACCGCAUGAGAUCUACGGAUGAAAGCAGGGGAUCGCAAGACCUUGUGCUACUAGAGCGGCCGAUGGCAGAUUAGGUAGUUGGUGGGAUAAAAGCUUACCAAGCCGACGAUCUGUAGCUGGUCUGAGAGGACGAUCAGCCACACUGGGACUGAGACACGGCCCAGACUCCUACGGGAGGCAGCAGUGGGGAAUUUUGGACAAUGGGCGAAAGCCUGAUCCAGCAAUGCCGCGUGCAAGAUGAAGGCCUUCGGGUUGUAAACUGCUUUUGUACGGAACGAAAAGCCCCGGGUUAAUACCCUGGGGUCAUGACGGUACCGUAAGAAUAAGCACCGGCUAACAACGUGCCAGCAGCCGCAGUAA